rnacentral:rRNA from 1 species
AAUGGGCGCAAGCCUGAUCCAGCCAUGCCGCGUGAGUGAAGAAGGCCUUCGGGUUGUAAAGCUCUUUCGGCGGGGAAGAAAUUGCACUCUCUAAUACAGGGUGUAGAUGACGGUACCCGCAUAAGAAGCACCGGCUAACUACGUGCCAGCAGCCGCGGUAAUACGUAGGGUGCGAGCGUUAAUCGGAAUUACUGGGCGUAAAGCGUGCGCAGGUGGUUGUGUAAGUCAGAUGUGAAAUCCCCGGGCUCAACCUGGGAACUGCAUUUGAGACUGCACGGCUAGAGGAUGGCAGAGGGGGGUAGAAUUCCACGUGUAGCAGUGAAAUGCGUAGAGAUGUGGAGGAAUACCGAUGGCGAAGGCAGCCCCCUGGGCUAUUUCUGACACUCAUGCACGAAAGCGUGGGGAGCAAA